CCUAUUUAAUCUGGAGGCUCCGGCUCUCUCGGUCCUUUCACCGACUCGCUGUGUUCACACCAGACGUCCAGAAAAAGAGAAGUCAUGUCCAAUAAAUAUAAUGCAACACAACCGCAAUGGUUUGAUCAUCUGGACCAACAGAGUCUGUUGGGAUCAGAUGCCAUUUGGCAGACACCUGUAUGAGGAAGAUGUCUGAGCUUCUGCAGUCUCCCAGGGAUGACUGCUGUUGCAAACUACAAUCUGAGUAAAUGAGUCCUGACAGAGGAGCUCCAAUGAGAGGAUACUUGCCAUCUGCAUCAAGUCAUGGGAAAAUUCUCAAGGUUUAAGCUUUGGGAGAUGAAACUGAUGUUGCAGCCGCUGUAACUCAAUUGAGAUUUCAGUCUUCGUCCAAAUCGAUACUUUGCAGGUAUUGAGCAAGACUCUAAACACCGGAUGGAGAUCACACCAGGGGAACAUUUGUCAUGAUGCUAAACAAAUGUGGACUUUAAUGUUUCUAUUUGUCUUUAGUUAGUCUGAAUACAUCCAGGCCGUAUGAAUCAGUUGGCUGUACAUGAAAUGUGACAAUUGUUUCUAAAUAAAGAUUCAACUACACCUGAAA